CCUGUCCCAGGCACCGGGGUGCAACCAAGAUCACAAACAUCUCUGUCCUUACAGAGCUCAUGCUCUCAUGGGCAGGAAGACAGACCUGCAAAGAGAUCUGGAAUGUGAUAUCAGGUGUUGACAAGAGCUCCGGAGGGAGCAGAGCAUGGAAAGGUCAGAAAGGGAAGACCCAGGGUCUCUGAAGGAGGUGUCAGGAAAGAAGUCUAAGGAUGCCCUGAUGUGAGCAGGACGUGAGGGUGUUGUGGAGGGAGCCAUGCAGAUCCCUGGGGAAGAGGAUUUCAAAGAGAAAAAUGCCGAGGUCAGAAGUGUUGAAUGAAUGGGGGUCGUGCUGCUGACCUUGACCCAGUAGGACAGUAGGACAAAAACACAAUACACACACAUACACACAAAGAGGGGUGUGUGUGUUUGUGUGUGUGUGUCUACAAGGCAGAUGACUGAAGAGAUCUUCUGAGGACCCAGGGCCCCAUCUUUUUACCCCAAUACAUAGGUCUCAAUAUUGACUGAUGCUCUCUCCACCUCCUAGCAUCACUUUUAAUCUUCUGGAACCCGCUCACCACUGCCCAAGUCACGAUUGAAGCACAGCCAACCAAAGUUUCUGAGGGAAAGGAUGUUCUGCUACUUGUCUACAAUUUGCCCCAGAAUCUUACUGGCUACAGGUGGUACAAAGGGCAAAUAAUGGACCUCCAGCAUUACAUUGCAGCAUAUACAACAGACACUGAAAUGAUUAUAUUUGGGCCUGCAUACAGUGGACGAGAAACAGUAUAUUCCAAUGCAUCCCUGUUGAUCCAGAAUGUCACCAAGAAUGACACAGGAUCCUACACCAUUCAAAUCACAAAGCGAGGUGAUGGGACUAAAGGAGUAACUGGACAUUUCACCUUAUACCUGGAGACUCCCAAGCCCUACAUCUCCAGCAGCAACUUAAACCCCAGGGAGUGCACGGAGACUGUGAUCUUAUCCUGUGAUCCUGACACUCAGGAUGUCAGCUACCUGUGGUGGAUAAAUGGUCAGAACCUCCCUAUCAGUAGCAAGUUGCAACUGUCCGAAAACAACAGGACCCUCAGUCUAUUUGGUGUCACAAAGGAUACUGCAGGACCCUAUGAAUGUGAAAUGAAGAACCCAGGGAGUUCCAGCCACAGUGACCCAGUCACCUUGAAUCUCCUCUAUGGUCCACACAUCCCCAGCAUUUUCUCUCCAUUCCCCUAUUACCGUUCAGGAGAAAACCUCUACUUGUACUGCUUCGCGGACUCUAACCCACCAGCAGAGUAUUCUUGGACGAUUAAUGGAAAGUUUCUGCAAUCAGGACAAGACCUUUUUAUCCGUGAAAUUACUACAAAUCAUAGUGGAAUCUAUGGUUGCUCCGCUCGUAACUCAGCCACUGGCAGUGGAAGUUCCACAUCCAAGAUGAUCAAAGUCUCUGGUAAGUGGAUCCUGCAUCACUGGCAAUAGGGUUUUAGGUGGAGUCUAUCUGGCUUUCAGAGAAGACCCAGGAAAACAUUUUAAUUCCCAGCCUGUGUCCCAUUGGCAGAAGGAAAUCCUAAAUUCUCCUCCUGAACCCUCCCAAUUUGUCUCCACGGACUCUCUUCUCCUUGUUUUCCUGUUUUCUCAUGGCUGACUUUGCGUCCAGACUGAGAAAUGUAGGGAGGGGGCUUUGUCAGUCCUGAGCCCUAUGUGGUGGAAGCAGCUUCACAGAGGGACAAGAAGGAGAGUCCUCAAGGUCAAGUUGCUUCUUGCUGUCACCAAUACAUCCCUUUCUGCCACGUCUUUUUUUCCCCUACUGCAUGACCUACAAGGAGCAUCCGAGGCUUUGAAACAAGCUCACAUUUUUCCCCCAAAUGAGAGUAGGAAACCCCUUGGAUGAGAGAGGAGCAGCUCAGACUGCUCCCUAAUCUGCUCCAGGCUUCUCCGGUGACUGGCCCUGCCUGACUCCACCUGGUGUGGGACCAGCAUGUGUGGAGAAAGAGCCCUGGUGGCCUCUCCUGAAUUCGGCUAAAUCGAACUGCCAGUUGAUAUGAAGGCUAGGCUGCAGGGAAAUUAAAAGAAAGGGAGCCUCGGGGCAGACUCUUGAGCUGUGUCCUGGCUCUGAAGUCACCGGUUGUAUGAGGCUGUGGGCACAGCACGUGGGACACAGCACAGAGGACAGUGAGUGAUGCACACUUGGAGACAUAGGGAGAUUCACCUCUGGGGUUCUGCAUGGCAGGAAAGGGGCUAUGCCAAAAAGUGUGUAUUUAUAGAGUGUAAGACUACCAGGACACUUUAUAUAUAUCCAAUAUAAGGCUUAUCAUUAACUAUUUCUAAGUGUGCCAUUUAGUGUUGUGUAACCAUCACACUAUCAAUUUCCAGAACUUUUUCCUUUUACCAUAUUAAACCUCUGUACCCAAUAAACAGUAACUCUCACGCCUUCUCACCCUAACCCUUAGCACCCACCAUUCUACUUUCUGUCUCUAUGUAACUGGCUAUUCUAUCUUUUAUAAAUGGAAUUAUAGAAUAAUUAUCCUUUCAUGUCUGGCUUAAUUCAGUUAGCAUAAUGUCUUCAAGGUUCAUCCACUUUGCACGAUGUAUUGGAAUUUUAUUCCUUGUUAAGGUUGAAUAACAUUUCGAUGUAGAGAUAUACGUCAUUUCCCUACCCACUUAUCAUUCAAUGGAAUUUUCCAUUGUUUCCAUUUUUGGCUAUUGUAUGUAAUGCUUCGCUGAACAUUAAUGUGCAAAUAUUUGUUCAAAUUUCUUUCAAUUCUAUAGGCAGUAUGUCCAGAAGUGGAAUUGCUGGGUCGAAUGGUAAUUUAUUGUUUAAAUUUUUGAGAAACAGCCACACCACUUUUUACAGUGGCUAUAACAUUUCCCAUUCCCAUCAGCAAUGCACUAGAGCUCCAAUUUUUCCGUCUAUUUGAAAACACUUGCUUUGUGUUGCUGUCAUUGUUGUUAUCAAAGCCAUCCUAAAGUGUGUGAGGUGGUGUCACAUUGUGGUUUUAAUUUGCAUAUCUCUAAGUAUUCGUGAUGCUGAUGAGCUUUGCAUAGGCUUAUCGGAUAUUUGUAUACCUUCCUUGGAGAAAACUCUAUUUUAAUCCUUGGUUCAUUUUGUAAUUGUGUUUUUGGAUGUUUGCUGUUGUUAACUUGUAGUUUUUUGUGUAUUCUGGAAAUUAAUUUCUUAUCACACUUAUAAUUUGCAAAUAUUUUUCUCGUUUCAUGUGUUGCCUUCUGACUUUCUUGAUAAUGUUCUUCGAUAUGCAAAAGGUUUUCAUUUUUAUGAAGUCCAAUUUAUCCAUUUUAUUUGUUGCCUAUGCUUUUGUUGUUACAACCAAGAAAUCAUUGUGAAAUGCAAUAUCAUGAAGUUUUUAUCCUAUAUUUUCUUCUAAGAGUUGUAUAGAUUUUGCUCUUACAUUUAGAUCUUUGAUCCAUUGUGGGUUAAUUUUUGUAUAUGAUGUUAGGUACAGGUUCCACUCAUUUUUGCCCUUGGAUAUCCAGCUUUUCCAAUAUCAUUUGGUGAGCACUGUCCUUUCCCCCGUUGAACGAUCUUGACACACUCGAUGUAAAUCAUUUGGCCAUGUAUGCAAGUAUUUCUUUCUGGAGUCUCUGUUCCAUUUCAUUAAAUUCUAUGUCCUCCUUUAUGCCAGUACCACACUGUAUUGGUUACUGGGGCUUUGUAGUAAAUGCUGAAAUCAGGAAGUGUGAGUCCUCCAGCUUCAUUCUUCCUCUUCAAAUUUGUUUGUCUAUUUAGGGUCAUGAUUUUCAAUAUAAAUUUUAGGACGGAUUUUUCUUUUACUGCAAAAAUGUCACUGAGAUUCUUAGAGGAAUUAUAUUGAAUCUGCAGCUCACUUUGGGUUUCAUUGUCCUCCUGACAACAGUGAGUCUUCUAAUUCACGAAAAUAAAAUGUCUUUCAUUUUAUUGAUGUCAUCAUUAAGCAAUAUUUUAUGGAUUUCAGGUAUAAUUAUUUCACCUCUUUGGUUAAACUUAUUCCUAAAUAUUUUAUUCUUUUUGAUAUUAAUACAAAUUAAAUUUUUUUUCUUAAUUUCCCUUCGGAUUGUCCAUGGUUAGUGUAUUGAGAUAUGAAUGAUGUUUGAAUGUUGAUUUUGUAUUGUGGAACAUUACUGAAUUCAUUCAUCAAUUCUUAUAGGUUUGUUCCAUCUUUAGGAUUUUCUAGAUAUAAGUUCAAGUUAUCUCCGAACAGAAAUAAUUUUACUCCUUUCUUCCAAUUUGAAUGUCUUUUUUAAUACUCUUGCCUAAUUUUUCCGACUACACCUUUCAAUACUACAUUGAAUAGAAGUGUCCAAAGCAGCAUCCUUGUCUUGUUCCUGCUCAUACAGGGAAAGCUUUCAGUCUUUCUCCAUUGAGUAUGAUGUUAGCUUUGGGAUUUUCACAUAUUGCCUUUAUGUUGAGGUAGUUUCCUUCCAUUCUUAGAAUGUUUUUAUUAUGAAAAAAUAUUGAAUUUCAUCAAAUGCUUUUAUUGAUUCAAUCUUAUUACUGCUUAUAGUUCUAUUCAUAUUUUUGUGUUUUUCUAGGAAUUUGUCUAUUCCAUCUAGGUUAUACAGUUUAUUAGCAUACAAUUAUUUACAGUAAUUUCAUAAUCAUUAUUUUAUUAGAAUUGCUAGUAAUCAUUUCAUUUUCUGUUUUUUUUUUCU